CAGGAUGCCAGGUGCUUAAGGAAAAUAAAUGCAAGUCUAUAUGGAAGGGGAAAGGAAAGAUCCUGAAAACCUAAAAGGACUCAGAUGAAUGCUCAAGAAUGGGAGGAAAAACUUGGAAACUCGGUGACCAUACUUUGAUGACAAGCCAGAUGGCAGCUGUUCCCCUAGCCCCGUGCCAAGAAAGAUGA
rnacentral:lncRNA from 12 species